rnacentral:rRNA from 1 species
UACGUAGGGGGCAAGCGUUAUCCGGAAUUAUUGGGCGUAAAGCGCGCGCAGGCGGUUAAUUAAGUCAGAUGUGAAAGGCUACGGCUCAACCGUAGAGAUGCAUUUGAAACUGGUUAGCUUGAGUGCAGGAGAGGUGAGUGGAAUUCCCGGUGUAGCGGUGGAAUGCGUAGAGAUCGGGAGGAACACCAGUGGCGAAGGCGGCUCACUGGCCUGCAACUGACGCUGAGGCGCGAAAGCGUGGGGAGCGAACAGG